rnacentral:rRNA from 1 species
UACAGAGGGUGCGAGCGUUAAUCGGAAUUACUGGGCGUAAAGCGAGUGUAGGCGGUUUGGUAAGUCGGAUGUGAAAGCCCCGGGCUCAACCCGGGAAGUGCACUCGAUACUGCCAAGCUAGAGUAUCGGAGAGGUUGGUGGAAUUCUCGGUGUAGAGGUGAAAUUCGUAGAUAUCGAGAGGAACACCGGUGGCGAAGGCGGCCAACUGGACGAAUACUGACGCUGAGACUCGAAAGCGUGGGGAGCAAACAGG